CUCAUAAAUUUGAGGAAGUAUAGUAAGGAACAGUUUCUAGCCUUUGUAUUUGAGUUUCUGUCAUUUAUCUUAUCUCUUAAUCCUUGAUUUUUCUAUAUUUGUAUCCUCAUAAUAUAUUAGAUUAACUAACCACUAAUUCUUAUGUUGGAAGAUCUGUACAUAUUUAGACCUGUAUAUCUUUUACCUACCACUGUAUAGUAGCCAGAAAAAAUCUAAAAUUCAAAUAUCAUUGUAUAACUUUUUCUUGACAAUUGUUUUAGGCACAUAGAGAGCUAGCACGUGAAGCUGUACACAAGUCCUUAGUUUUACUAAAGAAUGCCAAGAAGAUCCUUGUUGCAGGAACCCAUGCUGAUGAUCUUGGUCACCAGUGUGGAGGCUGGACAUUAACCUGGUUGGGAACCAGCGGCAGAAUCACAAUUGGCACAACCAUUUUGGAUGCACUAAAAGAAGUGAUGGGAGACAAAACAGAAAUAAUCUUUGAGCCAUCUCCUUCAGAAGAAACCUUUAGUGGUCAAGACUUCUCAUAUGCCAUUAUGGCUGUUGGAGAGACUCCAUAUGCACAAACUGCCGGUAUGACCCAGAACUCAAAAUCCCAUUGAAUGGAUCUGACAUUGUUCGGUCCAUUUAAAUGGUGUGGCAACAUUGAUUGGUAUGGUUGGCCUUAUAGUAGCUUUAGUUGUUCUGCUUGUACUUAUGAUCAGGUUACCAUUGUGGUUGUGGCAGUACCCGAAGGAUUUCCCUUAGAUGUCACUCUUAUGUAAGUUCAUUCUAUUUUGACAAUAAUACUGUUAAAGUUUGAGUAGUUCUUUGCAUAGCUGCUUCAUUUGAAGGGUCAGUUGUAUCUAUUUAUCACUUUCACUUCCCGAUUGUGUUUUC